CCGGACUCGUUUAGCAGCCCUCUCUUCAGUGUGAUCGUCUACAUCUUUGUGGUCCUCACACAUGCCUCCUUCUCUCAACCUUUCGUCAGAAACAACCUGUUCAUUCUUCUGCUCGCUGCUUUGAAUACUUGGUAACUGUCUCUCAUUACAACUGUUUGCUUCAGGAAGUUGACCACUACCGAUAACAGCAACCAUGUUAUCGCUACUUACACCAUUGGCUACUAACUUAUUAUCUCUAAUCGUGAAACUAGAGGCUGAAACAUCACAUGAAUUAGUCAAUCCCAUGGCGAUCCUUCUCUUAAGCCACUGCUUAUCCUUGACAGAGG
rnacentral:lncRNA from 1 species